CAAAACAUGGGGAACGGCAGUGUCAGUUAAGUUUUAGACCAUUCUAAGGCCCACAAACUUUGGAGGCCCCCCAGCUUUAUUAUUACAAACAUUAUUAGCUAACAUUAUUAGCAGUAACAUAAUAAUAAGACGUGUGUGGCUGUGUAGCAGUGUAUGCUGUAGUGCACGUGCUGCUACACAGCCACACACGUCUUAUAUUGGCGUAAUGUAACGUUACACCACGUACUAAAUUACAAAGGUUGUACUUAUACGUACAAAGAAAUAAUUAUCCAAGGGACAGGUCUCAGAGCAUGAGCUGCUGCUACCGUUUCUGCUUCCUUCCCACUGCUAAAGCUAGCUUACAACGGGAAGCGCGCUCACUCGAACUAUUCCCGAGGAUCGAAGUUCGGAGCUCUCACUGACAGUAAGGUCCAGAUGGUGGCGCCCCUCUCCUCACCCUCCUCCUGCUGACUCUGUCUGUCUUUCAGGUAGACCAACAUCCAGCAGCUUUGUAAUGCGGCCUGACUGCCUGUCCCGCCCCGAGCUCCACCCCAGCCCCCGAUAAUCCAGCAUCGUGAACGCUCAACCUCUGACACCUUCUAAAGAUUUUCUGCCCGCCUCCCGCUCGCGCUCUGCCCGUCCGCUGCCUCGCUGCGCCCCUCGAGCACCGCUGGAAUGCCGGGGCGAGAUAAAGAGGAGGCCCCGCUCCGAGCAGGCAAGUGAAAAUAACUGGGAGGCAAGGACAGUGGGGAGAAAAGCUCUGACUGAUAAACUCCUGAGUUCAACAUCUCGGCCUGACAGCUGGGCAGUGUUUGGCACUCCAUCAUGCUGCAGUUGGUGGAAAAAGAAAGACGGGAGGAGACAGACAGGGGGAAAGCUACAGAGAGAGAGAGAGACAGAGAGAAAGUGCCUCAGGGGCUCACAUUUAACCUGCCCACCAAUCCCAAUCAAUGUCAUUACUUCUUUCCACUCCAUUUUAUCAGCUCCUAGCGACUGUAGUUUCCUAGAAGUGACCGUUGUACAGCACUCUAUGAAACAGUCACAGGGCUAAUGGGAUGAGAUGCAAAGAAUUAUAAAUGCUGACAGUAAAUCAUAUUACAUCCCUAAUAAGCAUUAACUGGAUAACUGGGUCAAAGCUGUAUUAUCUUAAUUGAUUUUUCUAAAGAAACCUGACAGUGAAAUGUCAAUGCUUGAAUAUUUCUUCAUGCAUCAUUAAAACAAGAUUGGCUUUUAACAAAAGGGGAGGAGGACGGGAUCCUUUGGGCUGAAUUGAUUCUUGCUCGGGGCUGCCUUUCACAAGUAAGUGUAUUACAUAAAAAUCUAUACAGGAUAUUAAAACAACACCCAUUCUGCAAGACAGUUACAAUUAAAAGCUGACACCCACCCUUGCUUUCUGUGUGU